rnacentral:rRNA from 1 species
CGGACUACGUACCUAACCCAAACACCACCGGUAGAUAUGAAGGUCUGACCAAACACAGGGCACAGGGCUCGGCGGCGACGUGCUAACGGAGAAGAAGGAGCGUGGGGCGGAGAAGGCCGAGCGUGCAUCGUGGAGGGGAUGGAGCGUCGAAGAGGGACGAGGCGGAGUGGCGACAAGUUAAGCUGCUUGGGGAGCUGGGACCGGCCUGCGCUACCCGUCCAGCGGCCGUCGGGGUUGGGGCUGGGGGUCCAGCGGCUGUCGUAGUUAGUGCUGGGGGACCAGCGGCCGACAGGGUUAGGGUUGGGGGUUCCUCCGCCUACGCAGUUAGGGCCGCGAGUCCCACGGCCUACACAGCAGCUGUCGUCUAGACUCCUCGUGUUCCCACUUGAGAACGCACGGUAUUUUAAACUCUUCCGAUUACCGGGCCUAGAACUCCUCGUGUUCCGACGAUCACUCGAGGUACACCUUGGUGGUUUCACGUUCUUUUCCUUCUCUUCAUCCGUCUCAUCGCCGUUCGAAGUACGUAGAGUUUCUGACUACCUGUCACUCGAUCGACAGAUGAAAAUUUUACAGGACUACAGGUAUAUAGUUAUAGGUGACGGGUGUCUUUAGUUCAUUUUUACUGAUUUACCAAAAAUGCAUGCUCUAGCGGGUCAUAAGAUAUUAUUACUCUAGCGGGUCGGUUUUUACGGGUAUAUUUUUUCUGACUACCUGUCACUCGAUCGACAGACGAUAAAUUUAUUUCUAGAGUCUUAGACGUUCGACUGUAAAAAAGAGAAUAUACCCAAGACGAUCGACAGACGAUAAAUUUAUUUCUAGAGUUUUAGACGUUCGACUGUAAAAAAGAGAAUAUACUAGAGUCUUUUUCAACAGGUUCCUGUACAAGAUACUUCGAUGUUUCAAGUCACAACGUCAUAACGUCUGACUUUUAAACAAGAUACUUCGGACUGAACCGCCGGUUGUAUAGGAGCAGCGAACAGAUGAACUAGUCAUCAACACACAAGAGCGGUAGCAGCUCUGAGACGUUGAAAUAUAUAGACACCCGUCUCAAUUGGUUGUCUACCUUGUGUGAAAUUAACAACAGAACCAAACGUCUCUUCCGGUUAAACCGAGGGCCCGAGUCGACGUGGGCACGGCUGCUUUUUUUAGUUUUGUUUAUGAUCUUUUUAAGUUUUUUAAGGUUGAAAAAAACACACCAUCUGUUAAACUACGCACUCCAAGCGACGUUUUAAGUUGAGCAAACCUGUAAACUCGUAGACAUCUUUUUUUUCUGUUUUAACCCCAGGUAUUUUUUCAAAUGACAAGUGCUUGACAAAACUGGGCUAAACAGAAAAAACGACUCUCGACGAGUUUACAGGUUUACUCAACUUUAAACGUCUCCAGGAGUGCGUUGUUUAAUAGAUCAUGUGUUAAAAAAAACCUAAAAAAACUAAAAAAAAUCAUAAAUAAAACUUAAAAAAAGACUCGCCCUCGUAGACUCGGACCCGAGUCUGCGCCUAAAAGCACCAAACGUGAGAAUAAUAGGAGAGUAUUUAGCUAAGUAGGCAUAUACAUUGACUUUGAAAUCACCUAAGCUAGAUAAUUAGGGAUAUACAUUGACUUCCAAAUCACCAGCUAGUUAAGUAGGAUAUACAAUG